GUGGAAUAACGUUAUUGCCCAGCGGAGCUGAGGGCCCCGGAGCUCGACCGCAGCGGCAGCGACGACAACAGCGGCGACGACGACGACGACGAGGUGGGGGGAGGACGGCGUGCGAGAGACUCACGGGACGCGACGCGCCCCGCCUCCCCCGUCCGGUCCCUCUCUCCACGGUAAGGGGAUGACGUAGCUUUGCCAAAGACUUAGAAGCUAAGCAGAAAAUGAGCUUAACAUCCUGGUUUUUGGUGAGCAGUGGAGGCACUCGCCACAGGCUGCCACGAGAAAUGAUUUUUGUUGGAAGAGAUGACUGUGAGCUCAUGUUGCAGUCUCGUAGUGUGGAUAAGCAACACGCUGUCAUCAACUAUGAUGCGUCUACGGAUGAGCAUUUAGUGAAGGAUUUGGGCAGCCUCAAUGGGGUAAGUCAAUGGUUUAUUUUUUGUCUUGUUUGAUGAACAUUUGUUUAAUAUUGUAAGAAUAAAAAUCAGAUUACAUUUCCUAGCUACAUUUUCUUUUUCUUUACUUUGUAUGUUAUGUUCAAAUGCUUAUCAGGUACAUAGCACUUUGGGGACCAUCCAAUAGAAUAUGAAA
rnacentral:sRNA from 1 species